GUGCUCGCUUUGGCAGCACAUAUACUAAAACUGGAACGAUACAGAGAAGAUUAGCAUGGCCCCUGUGCAAGGACGACACGCAAAUUCGUGAAGCGUUCUGUAUUUUU
rfam:Tupaia chinensis contig20951, whole genome shotgun sequence.